rnacentral:rRNA from 1 species
GUGGGUUUGUAAGUCUGUCUGUGAAAUCCCUCGGCUCAACCGAGGAACUGCAGAGGAUACUGCCGAACUGGAGUGCAGGAGGAGAGAGUGGAAUUCCUGGUGGAGCGGUGAAAUGCGUAGAUAUCAGGAGGAACGCCGGUGGCGAAAGCGACUCUCUGGACUGUAACUGACGCUGAGGAGCGAAAGCCAGGGGAGCGAACAGGAUUAGAUACCCCGGUAGUCCUGGCCCUAAACGAUGGGCACUAAGUAGAGGGG